CCUACGGGAGGCAGCAGUGAGGAAUAUUGGACAAUGGUCGAAAGACUGAUCCAGCCAUGCCGCGUGCAGGAAGACGGCCCUAUGGGUUGUAAACUGCUUUUGUUUGGGAAGAAACCUUUCUACGUGUAGAAAGCUGACGGUACCAUACGAAUAAGCACCGGCUAACUCCGUGCCAGCAGCCGCGGUAAUACGGAGGGUGCAAGCGUUAUCCGGAUUUAUUGGGUUUAAAGGGUCCGUAGGCGGACUUAUAAGUCAGUGGUGAAAUCCUGCAGCUCAACUGUAGAACUGCCAUUGAUACUGUAAGUCUUGAAUUCGGUUGAAGUGGGCGGAAUAUGGCAUGUAGCGGUGAAAUGCUUAGAUAUGCCAUAGAACACCGAUUGCGUAGGCAGCUCACUAAGCCUGGAUUGACGCUGAGGGACGAAAGCGUGGGUAGCGAACAGGAUUAGAUACCCUGGUAGUCCACGCCGUAAACGAUGAUUACUCGACAUUAGCGAUACACGGUUAGUGUNAUAAGACGAAGACAUAAGUAAUACCACCGUACGGGAGGUACGUUACGCGAGAAGUAGAACGUACGAACUAAGUAAGUUAGUACGGACGUAGAGACGUUACGCCGACGGACGACCGACCGAGGGGAGGGUUAGGGAG
rnacentral:rRNA from 1 species